AACGAACGCUGGCGGCAGGCCUAACACAUGCAAGUCGAGCGCCCCGCCAGGGGAGCGGCGGCCGGGUGAGUAACGCGUGGGAAUAUGCUCUUUGCUACGGAAUAGUCCUGGGAAACUGGGGGUAAUACCGUAUACGCCCUCUGGGGGAAAGAUUUAUCGGCGAAGGAUUAGCUCGCGUUGGAUUAGGUAGUUGGUGGGGUAAUGGCCUACCAAGCCGACGAUCCAUAGCUGGUUUGAGAGGAUGAUCAGCCACACUGGGACUGAGACACGGCCCAGACUCCUACGGGAGGCAGCAGUGGGGAAUCUUAGACAAUGGGGGCAACCCUGAUCUAGCCAUGCCGCGUGAGUGAUGAAGGCCUUAGGGUUGUAAAGCUCUUUCAGCUGGGAAGAUAAUGACGGUACCAGCAGAAGAAGCCCCGGCUAACUCCGUG
rnacentral:rRNA from 1 species